GUCUUUUUGAUAAUAAUAUAAAGUCUAAUCUGCCCACUGAAUAUAAUUUAAAGGGCUGCAGUAUAUUGACUGUACAAAGGUAGCAUAAUCAAUAGUCUUUUAAUUGAAGACUUGUAUGAAUGAUUUGAUGAAAUAUAAACUGUCUUUUUUUUAAAAAUAGAAAUUAAUUUUUUAGUUAAAAAGCUAAAAUAAUUAUAAAAGACGAGAAGACCCUAUAGAGUUUUAUAUUUUAUUAUAUUUUAAAUUUAUAUAAAAUUUAAAUUUAAAAUAUAAUUAAAUAUUUUAUUGGGGGGAUAAAAAAAUUAAAUAAACUUUUUUUGUUAAUUUACAUUGAUUUAUGAAUUUUUGAUCCAUAUUUUAUGAUUAAAAGAAAAAAUUACCUUAGGGAUAACAGCGUAAUUUUUUUUUUUAGUUCAAAUAAAAAUUAAAGUUUGCGACCUCGAUGUUGGAUUAAGAUAAAAUUUAAAAGCAAAAUUUUAAAAUUUUGAUCUGUUCGAUCAUUAAAAUCUUACA
rnacentral:rRNA from 1 species